UACAGAGGGUGCAAGCGUUGCUCGGAAUUAUUGGGCGUAAAGGGUAGGUAGGUUGUCUCAUUUGUGUGGGGUGAAAGCCUUGGGCUUAACUCAAGAAGUGCCCCGCAAACGGUGAGACUGGAGUACUCGAGAGGCUAGCGGAAUUCCCGGUGUAGCGGUGAAAUGCGUAGAGAUCGGGAGGAACACCAGAGGCGAAGGCGGCUAGCUGGAGAGUAACUGACACUCAACUACGAAAGCGUGGGGAGCAAACAGG
rnacentral:rRNA from 1 species